GCUGGCGGCAGGCCUAACACAUGCAAGUCGAGCGGUAGAGAGAAGCUUGCUUCUCUUGAGAGCGGCGGACGGGUGAGUAAUGCCUAGGAAUCUGCCUGGUAGUGGGGGAUAACGUUCGGAAACGGACGCUAAUACCGCAUACGUCCUACGGGAGAAAGCAGGGGACCUUCGGGCCUUGCGCUAUCAGAUGAGCCUAGGUCGGAUUAGCUAGUUGGUGAGGUAAUGGCUCACCAAGGCGACGAUCCGUAACUGGUCUGAGAGGAUGAUCAGUCACACUGGAACUGAGACACGGUCCAGACUCCUACGGGAGGCAGCAGUGGGGAAUAUUGGACAAUGGGCGAAAGCCUGAUCCAGCCAUGCCGCGUGUGUGAAGAAGGUCUUCGGAUUGUAAACACUUUAAGUUGGGAGGAAGGGCCAUUCUAUUA
rnacentral:rRNA from 1 species